UUCUGGUGUCAGAAAAUUUUUAGUUUUUAGUUUUUAGUUUAAAAACAUCAUGUCUCCUUCCUCAUAGGUACCACUGGACCAGGUCUUUGUUUGCUAGGAUUCUGUCAGAGGUAAAUGCAUUUUGAAGUAGAGAACAUGGAUAAUUGCACGCUUGGAAUGGAAAACUAAGACACCCCCUGCUCGCUAGUUAGAGAACAGACGCGUGUCCGCUCGAGAAAGCCUGGGACCAGGAGAAAGGCGACUUCACGAGCAGAGGACGCCACACUCCGUGUGAUCAUCAGUCAGUUUCUCUGAAACACCGUGUUGCUGCCUAACAGUC